rnacentral:rRNA from 1 species
GAUGAACGCUGGCGGCGUGCUUAACACAUGCAAGUCGAACGGGAAACCUUUUAUUGAAGCUUCGGCAGAUUUAGCUGGUUUCUAGUGGCGGACGGGUGAGUAACGCGUGGGUAACCUGCCUUAUACAGGGGGAUAACAACCAGAAAUGGUUGCUAAUACCGCAUAAGCGCACAGGACCGCAUGGUCCGGUGUGAAAAACUCCGGUGGUAUAAGAUGGACCCGCGUUGGAUUAGCUAGUUGGCAGGGUAACGGCCUACCAAGGCGACGAUCCAUAGCCGGCCUGAGAGGGUGAACGGCCACAUUUGGACUGAGACACGGCCCAGACUCCUACGGGAGGCAGCAGUGGGGAAUAUUGCACAAUGGGGGAAACCCUGAUGCAGCGACGCCGCGUGAAGGAAGAAGUAUCUCGGUAUGUAAACUUCUAUCAGCAGGGAAGAUAGUGACGGUACCUGACUAAGAAGCCCCGGCUAACUACGUG